CGCACGUGUGCAUGCACGUACAGGUCUUUGCCUGCAUGUGUCAGCCAGUGCCUGCCUGUGCUGCCUGUGUGGUACGAGCAGGUGUGUCUCCGUGCGUUUACCUGUGAGAUGUCUGUGUGUUCACUUCCCUAUAUCCCCGGGUUUAUGUUGUGUGUGUGUUUGUGUAGAAUCACAACAAUGAGGAAAUGCGUAUGUAGACACCCCUGACUUCUUGACGAUCUGUUUAACAGGUUUCGGAGGCGUCUAUUUACCUCUCGUUGGAACUGCUCUGCUCUGCGCUGCAAUUUCAUCUUCCAUUGCAUCAAACGAGUACCCGGUGAUGCCGAUGCUGCUGGCUCCUGGGUGCUACUUUGAGGAGCCAUCUUCGAAGACCGGUGGAAGUGCUUUGUACUGUUUGUACCUUUUGGAAAUGUUGUGUGAUCAUCAACAAGUCAACUCACCCGUCUUGGUCUCAGUUUCCCCAUCCGUCAAAUGGACAAGAUGUCACCAUCAUAGGAUGGGCGGAGAGGCCUAAGCAACACAAUGGAUGCAAAGUGCCUGGCCCAUCGUGUCAAGGAAUGACCUGAACAGCUGAGGAAGAUGCUCCAUGGAUGCCAACACUUGCUCGUCUCCCCUGCCUUGGACCCCAACUUUCCAAACCGCACUUCUCUUCCCUUUGCAUGUCUAGAAGAUGGCCUGGGCCAUAGUUAGGAGUUCAGCAUUGGGAGGUUAUAUUCUCUGAGCAGCAAGACCAACACCUGAGGCCCCUCUAGUCCUGAUUGUAUCCUGUGUUGUCAGGGAGAACAGUGUCUGGCGUCCUGUCGAUCUUUCUAGAAGGGAAGAGUAAAAGCAUUGAGAUGGCAAGCGUGUGGACCAGGCAGGCAGGAUGCUAGCCUCCCUCUGCGCCAGCCCGCUAGGCAGUGGCUACGUCUUCCCAGGGCUAAGGAGAUUCCCGCUUCCCAGAGUGCCACUGUGCCCUGCAGCAAGGCGAGACGGGGGGAGCUGUCCGGGGCCCGGCUUCCUCCCCCAGCACAGACGCCUCAGUGACCGCUCCGGGCUGGCCGCGAUGUGUGUACCUUUGCUGUCUGCACCCAGCCUCGGACUCGCCCCCAGGAACCCAGGCAGAGGAUAAACCUCACCCCUGCCUCUGGGAGCCCGGUCGGGGUGCAUUAGGCCAGUGCACAGAGCAGCUGGGGUGCGGAGAAAAGGAUAGUGGACUUGGAGACUGACUCCAAGUGCCUGAACACUCUCUGGCCUCAGCUUUCUCAUCCACAAAAUGGGACCAUAAACCUUGAUUCAGAGAGGCAGGGCAGUAGAGGGCAGCAGCCCAGCCUGUCUGGAUUUUGAUCUUGGCUCCCCCGCUUGUAAGCUGUGCUUUUCCCAGAAAAUUACUUUAUCUCUCUGAUCCUCAGGUUGCUUUACUGUAAAAAGGGUGGUAAUGAUGGUACCUGGACCUCAUAGAGUUAUUGUGGAGACGAAAACAAAAUAAAGUGAGUAAAGUGCUUAGCCUGUCCCGUGGCAAACUAUGAAUGCUUGGUCUUCUUAUUUCUGGAGUUGGUUGUUUGUUCCUUCUGGGGAGUUUGUUGGAGCUGCAGGUGCAAAAGCAAAAAGACCAGUGAGAAUUGAACAGACAUUUUGAGAGAUGUCGGGAGAAUUAGCUGAGGUGACGCAUGUGGAGGACCCAGCCCUGUGCUCGGGGAGCCGAUAGCGUCAGUCCUGCUCGCUAACCCCUCUCUCCUGCCGACAAACUAACAACCAUGAGAGUUAACCCUUACAUAGCGUGUACUAUGUGCCAGGCAUUGUUCUGAGCACUGUGUAAAUGUUGAUUCACUUAAUUUCAUGAUACAUGAAGUGUGUAUCAUUAUUAUCCUCAUUUUACAGAGGAGGAAACUGAGUCACAGGGAACUUACGUAACUUGCCAAGGGUACACAGAUGUUGAAUGGUGGAGCCAGGAUUAUGAACCUGGUAGUCUGCUCGUCAGGCGCUUGCUUUGAACUGCCCCACCAGACAGUUUCUCGGAUGGCAGGCUCUGACCUUGACUUUACCGUCUACCCUCCUGUCUACUGGCUACAAGCCCAUGCUGCCUACAAGAUUGCAACCCUAAGAGUCACCUGUCCAAGCUCAACUCACCUACCUGACUCAAUUCAACUCAACUCAGUUCAACUCAACUCAGCUCAGCUCAACUCAACUCAGUUCAACUCAACUCAACUCAGCUCAGCUCAGCUCAACUCAGUUCAACCCAACUCAACUCAACUCAGCUCAGCCCAACUCAACUCAACUCAACUCAGUUCAACUCAACUCAGCUCAACUCAGCUCAGCUCAACUCAGUUCAACUCAACUCAACUCAACUCAGCUCAGCCCAACUCAGCUCAACUCAACUCAGUUCAACUCAACUCGACUCAACUCAACUCAACUUAGCUCAGCUCAACUCAACUCAGUUCAACUCAACUCAACUCAGCUCAGCUCAGCUCAACUCAGUUCAACUCAACUCAACUCAACUCAGCUCAGCCCAACUCAGCUCAACUCAACUCAGUUCAACUCAACUCAGCUCAACUCAGCUCAACUCAAGCACAAUGUGUCCAGGAGAUCUUAGGCCAGUUGUGUGACUCCAAUGAAUGAUGCAAAAUUUGGGGGUUGUCUUUCAUGCUUGUUCCAUUCCUAUUGUUCUGAUGGGAAUCUUAUCUCCCCCAUUCACAUGGAAUAAUACCAAGACAUUACGUGCACAUAGCACUGUACAGUUUAGAAAUCCUUCUACACAUGUAGCUUAUUUAUAAUGUAUGUUUUCUAAGCCAAGUCUGCUUGGAAGUGAAGCAAAAGGGAG
rnacentral:lncRNA from 1 species